rnacentral:misc_RNA from 1 species
AAAAAAAAAUACCGCUGCUGUUAAUAUCGAAAACUCUCGCCCACCCACAUCUACCAGUAUAAAAAAAAUCUAUGUAGACAGAGGUGGAGAAACCCCGUAAAAAUGACAGUGCCCUCCCCCUGAAAAAAAAAAAAACGCGGAGCUUUGUCAUUGGUUCUGCCCUCUCUAUGCGCCACGAUCCCCAUUGCGAACAGUGGGAAGCACGAACAAAUGCCGGCGUGGGGACCCUACUGAAUCCCCUCCCCUUGAUCGAAGCUCGGCCUACAUCAUUGUGCACUUUGUCAUUUGUUUAUCGCCGCCAGUGACGCUGCUGUAAAUGCGCAGACUCGAUGACGUUGCAUUCCUAGACGGGGAGCAACAGCGGCGGUAGACAUGUGAAGAACAAGCCUCAGCGCGGCCAUUCUUCUGUUUCAAGAUCGUCGCGGCUUAGUGAAUAGCUGAUCGAGUCAUAGAAUUACCGCCCAAAAACACUGCAUGCGACUCCAAAAUAGGCAAGUUUGUAUGCUACGGUUCGUACGCGAAGAAUCACUCGUGCUACGGAACAGCUUGCGAGGAAGCACUGCAGUUUGAAGGCGUCCUUACGAAAACAGCGCUACGCUGGUAAAUUUGCAAGGCAUGGUGAUGAAGGCGGUAUAGCGCUUCAAAAAUUAUUGCGUGACAUCGCUGAUGCUUGGCAUAUUGCCCGAAUAACAUUCUUCGCGACACUGAAUUGCCAAUUUAGGAAUGUUGCUAGGUUAUUCUCAGCGCGGCAAGGAAUAUGUGGGCACUCAUAUAUAACUGCGCCCUUGUUUCGUAUUGCCGCAUUUUGUUGCGUGACUUGUUAACCUUGUGAAACUUUUGAUGGUUUUAAUCUUGUGAACGAAGGAAAUAUGACUUUGAAAGGUACCCACACAAACGGGAUAUGUGAUUACUACAAUAUCGAACAUCCUGAUUUCUCAAUAGCCGGAGAGUUGACUUCACCGUUACUGCUUGAUACAGCGUGAGCAUUGCGACAGCUGAUAGUUAUCGCUGUAGCGCUGCUCAUAAUUUCAGUUUAAGCAGCAGAUAUAAGAACCGAAGCGAACAGUGUAGCAAAGCACAGAGAGUUUUUCGUGAUUCAGCGACAGCAGAACUGACAACUGCUAGAUUAUCAUUUUCCCUAUUCGCAUCUUAGACGAAGCUGCAAUCAUUUUAGAGCGCAGCUC